AUACGGAGGGUGCGAGCGUUAAUCGGAAUUACUGGGCGUAAAGGGUCCGUAGGCGGUCUGCUUAGUCUGAUGUGAAAGCCCCGGGCUUAACCUGGGAAUGGCAUUGGAUACUGGCGGACUAGAGUCUGGUAGAGGGUGGUGGAAUUCCCGGUGUAGCGGUGAAAUGCGUAGAUAUCCGGAGGAACACCAGUGGCGAAGGCGGCCACCUGGACCAAGACUGACGCUCAGGGACGAAAGCGUGGGGAGCAAACAGGAUUAGAAACCCUGGUAGUCC
rnacentral:rRNA from 1 species